rnacentral:rRNA from 1 species
AACGAACGCUGGCGGCAUGCCUAACACAUGCAAGUCGAACGAGACCUUCGGGUCUAGUGGCGCACGGGUGCGUAACGCGUGGGAACCUGCCCUUAGGUUCGGAAUAACUCCCCGAAAGGGGUGCUAAUACCGGAUAAUGUCUUCGGACCAAAGAUUUAUCGCCUUUGGUUGGGCCCGCGUUGGAUUAGCUAGUUGGUAGGGUAAAAGCCUACCAAGGCGACGAUCCAUAGAUGGUCUGAGAGGAUGAUCAGCCACACUGGGACUGAGACACGGCCCAGACUCCUACGGGAGGCAGCAGUGGGGAAUAUUGGACAAUGGGCGAAAGCCUGAUCCAGCAAUGCCGCGUGAGUGAUGAAGGCCUUAGGGUUGUAAAGCUCUUUUACCCGGGAUGAUAAUGACAGUACCGGGAGAAUAAGCUCCGGCUAACUCCGUG